rnacentral:lncRNA from 1 species
AUAAAAUAAGGUCAUAUAGAUGGGCCUUAGUCCAAUAUGACUGGUGUUCUUAUAAGAAAAUAUUAGGACACAGAUACGCAUGUGCACAGAGAAAAGACCACAUGAAGACUGGGAGAAGACAGCUAUCUACAAGCCAGGGAGGAGGCCUCAGAAAAUAUCAACCCUGCUGACACAUUGGUCUCAAGAUUUCUAGCCUCCAGAAUGCUUCUCUGCACAGGAGGAUAGGAAUAUUAUAAAUUCCCUAACUGAAGAUCAUCCCAGUCUGAUUUAUUCAAGCUCAUAUUGAAAAAUAUCUGGUCUGAGAGAGACAGAAGUAUGGACAGGAAGAAGACAUACAGAAUCUUGAAGGCACUUUCUUCUUGAAACUAGCAGCCUGAAGAAACUAAAUUAUGAGACCAUCAUGGAGGCCAGUUCCAGAAGAAAACUUCAGAUUCUGUGUUUAUGUUGGCUUCCUUCUCCCCGUCUCCUUCAUGAUGAAAGAGAAACAACUGUCAGCAGGGUUCCAUUCUAUAUGGCUUAUACUUCAAAGAGAAAGAGAAACUUGUCUCUCCCCGAUUCAGAAUGAAGUCUCAGCAGAUGAUUUUUACUGAUUGCUCUAGCAUGGAUAACUUGACAUCACUUUAUUUAUCACUGUGGCCAGGAGAAGUAGGGACCAUAAUAGGUCAGGCCAAGGUCAAAUGGAAAUCUCUGUGUUAGGAGGGGUAGAAUACCACAACUGAAAAUCUCAUCAGAACCACACGGCAUGAGCAAGGCACCAAUCCACAAAGG